GACGAACCGUGCGAACGUUGUUCGGACUCAUUGGGCUUAAAGGGCGCGUAGGCGGAUGCUCAAGUCGGAGGUGAAAUCCCACCGCUCAACGGUGGAAGUGCCCCCGAUACUGGGCGUCUGGAGGGAGGUAGGGGUGUGCGGAACUUCCGGUGGAGCGGUGAAAUGCGUAGAUAUCGGAAGGAACGCCGGUGGCGAAAGCGGCGCACUGGACCUCUUCUGACGCUGAGGCGCGAAAGCCAGGGGAGCAAACGGG
rnacentral:rRNA from 1 species